GGGGAUGACAGGCUUCGACGGGGAAGGCUGGGCACGGACUGCAAGCCGGGGCGCUCUGACCUCGCAAAAACGGAGCACACUUUCCAAAGUGCCAAAAACAACACUUGGAUUCCUGUUCCUCAGUCCGCAUUUGCCGCUGCUCCUUUGGCAGCCUAAGUGUAGUCUGGGAACAACCCUGAUCGCAUAAGCCGAUCACGCUCGCCCUGGUUUCUCGCCAGCGGACUGGGGGUCGAGUGUCAAGGAGUUGGCGUGCAGCAUCCCGACGUCGAUAGGGAUGCUCAAGCGGGAGUCUAGGCUCCCAUCGACUGGUGCCGGGUGUAGCGUUGUCGGCGGCGACUCCCUGGCCGAGAAGCAACGGUCGACUAAGCUUGUAGAUGUCCUUGUUCGAAUUCUUCGGACGCGGGUUCGAUUCCCGCCAUCUCCACCU
rnacentral:tmRNA from 1 species